UGUGAAGAAACCAGACAGGUAAACAUGGUUAAAAUGUAUGUCACAACAGGAACUGGGAGUCGCUGCUAUGAGAAGCACAAACCCUGUGGCCUCCCUAUGAAGAAAUUCCCUACAUGU
rnacentral:snoRNA from 1 species